rnacentral:rRNA from 1 species
UGCAGUCGAGCGGUAGAGAGAAGCUUGCUUCUCUUGAGAGCGGCGGACGGGUGAGUAAUGCCUAGGAAUCUGCCUGGUAGUGGGGGAUAACGCUCGGAAACGGACGCUAAUACCGCAUACGUCCUACGGGAGAAAGCAGGGGACCUUCGGGCCUUGCGCUAUCAGAUGAGCCUAGGUCGGAUUAGCUAGUUGGUGAGGUAAUGGCUCACCAAGGCGACGAUCCGUAACUGGUCUGAGAGGAUGAUCAGUCACACUGGAACUGAGACACGGUCCAGACUCCUACGGGAGGCAGCAGUGGGGAAUAUUGGACAAUGGGCGAAAGCCUGAUCCAGCCAUGCCGCGUGUGUGAAGAAGGUCUUCGGAUUGUAAAGCACUUUAAGUUGGGAGGAAGGGCAUUAACCUAAUACGUUAGUGUUUUGACGUUACCGACAGAAUAAGCACCGGCUAACUCUGUGCCAGCAGCCGCGGUAAUACAGAGGGUGCAAGCGUUAAUCGGAAUUACUGGGCGUAAAGCGCGCGUAGGUGGUUCGUUAAGUUGGAUGUGAAAUCCCCGGGCUCAACCUGGGAACUGCAUUCAAAACUGACGAGCUAGAGUAUGGUAGAGGGUGGUGGAAUUUCCUGUGUAGCGGUGAAAUGCGUAGAUAUAGGAAGGAACACCAGUGGCGAAGGCGACCACCUGGACUGAUACUGACACUGAGGUGCGAAAGCGUGGGGAGCAAACAGGAUUAGAUACCCUGGUAGUCCACGCCGUAAACGAUGUCAACUAGCCGUUGGGAGCCUUGAGCUCUUAGUGGCGCAGCUAACGCAUUAAGUUGACCGCCUGGGGAGUACGGCCGCAAGGUUAAAACUCAAAUGAAUUGACGGGGGCCCGCACAAGCGGUGGAGCAUGUGGUUU